AGCUUGCUGCUUCGCUGACGAGUGGCGGACGGGUGAGUAAUGUCUGGGAAACUGCCUGAUGGAGGGGGAUAACUACUGGAAACGGUGGCUAAUACCGCAUAACGUCGCAAGACCAAAGAGGGGGACCUUCGGGCCUCUUGCCAUCAGAUGUGCCCAGAUGGGAUUAGCUUGUUGGUGAGGUAACGGCUCACCAAGGCGACGAUCCCUAGCUGGUCUGAGAGGAUGACCAGCCACACUGGAACUGAGACACGGUCCAGACUCCUACGGGAGGCAGCAGUGGGGAAUAUUGCACAAUGGGCGCAAGCCUGAUGCAGCCAUGCCGCGUGUAUGAAGAAGGCCUUCGGGUUGUAAAGUACUUUCAGCGGGGAGGAAGGUGUUGUGGUUAAUAACCGCAGCAAUUGACGUUACCCGCAGAAAAAGCACCGGCUAACUCCGUGCCAGCAGCCGCGGUAAUACGGAGGGUGCAAGCGUUAAUCGGAAUUACUGGGCGUAAAGCGCACGCAGGCGGUCUGUCAAGUCGGAUGUGAAAUCCCCGGGCUCAACCUGGGAACUGCAUUCGAAACUGGCAGGCUUGAGUCUUGUAGAGGGGGGUAGAAUUCCAUGUGGUAGC
rnacentral:rRNA from 1 species